CCUACGGGCGGCAGCAGUAGGGAAUAUUGCUCAAUGGGGGAAACCCUGAAGCAGCAACGCCGCGUGGAGGACGAAGGUUCUCGGAUUGUUAACUCCUUUUGUUAGAGAAGAUAAUGACGGUAUCUAACGAAUAAGCACCGGCUAACUCCGUGCCGGCAGCCGCGGUAAUACGGAGGGUGCAAGCGUUACUCGGAAUCACUGGGCGUAAAGAGCGCGUAGGCGGGAUAGCAAGUCAGAUGUGAAAUCCUAUGGCUUAACCAUAGAACUGCAUUUGAAACUGUUAUUCUAGAGUAUGGGAGAGGUAGGUGGAAUGCUUGGUGUAGGGGUAAAAUCCAUAGAGAUCACGAAGAAUACUCAUUGCGAAGGCGACCUGCUAGAACAUAACUGACGCUGAUGCACGAAAGCGUGGGGAGCAAACAGGAUUAGAUACCCCUGUAGUC
rnacentral:rRNA from 1 species